GCCCGGGUGGCGAAACUGGUAGACGCAGGGGACUCAAAAUCCCCCGCCGCAAGGCGUGUCGGUUCGAGUCCGACCCCGGGCACCA
rnacentral:tRNA from 1 species